GAAAUGGGGGAAUGAUCUGGGCUGAAAAAGUAAAUUUGUGAGUUUCCAGCAUAAAGAUAUCAUUUAAAGCUAUAGAGUAGAUGAAGUCCCCUAGGGAGAGAAGCAAUAGAACCCAGGACAGAGUCCUGAGCAACUCCAUCAUGUAGUUUGUGAAGAGGAGAAGGAGCCUUUGAUGAUUGACAAGUAUUCCUGCUGAAGGAAGGAAAUCAGUCUUGAAAGGUUUCAGAAGAUGAGUGGAGAGUAUUUCCAGAAGGAGGAGUGAGUGGCUGGCUGUGUUGAAAGCUGUGUAGAGAUUGAGUAAGAAAGAGAAGACUGGAGUCUCUGAGGGAUUUAGCAACAUGGAGAUCGUCGGUGACCUUGAUAAGGACAAUUUUAGUAGGUGGUGAGCGCAGAGGUCGGACUAUCUAGAGUUGAAGGUAAAUGAGCAGUGGAGAAAGAGAGCUGUAUGCUUUCUCGUCUGAACACACAAGGAAGAAAAGAAGGAUGGCUCCUGUACGUGAAAGUGACCCCUGCAUAUAGUGCCUGAAAUCAGAGGAAGCUUGUCAGUGUGGGCAGACACCACGAGCAGACCAAUUUGACAUUGUGCUUCUCUUUUAACCUCUUGAAAAUUAAUGAAAGUUAUCUGAUGAAGAUCCUUACAUUAAUUGCUCCCGAUUAAGGUUUAAAACCUUGGUUUACUGUGGGGUAAAUUUAUGUUUUUGAUAGUCAUCCAAAAUCUUUGUACGCUUUCAGUUUCAUUACAGAAUAAAAAACAAAUUUACCACAAUG
rnacentral:lncRNA from 1 species